rnacentral:rRNA from 1 species
CGUCUAUAUACGUAUAGCAUAUCAAUAAGCGGAGGAAAAGAAACUAACAAGGAUUCCCUUAGUAACGGCGAGUGAAGCGGGAAGAGCUCAAAUUUGAAAUCUUCAAGGUUCUACCUUGACGAAUUGUAGUUUAAAGAAGUGUUUUCUGUUAGAGAGUUAGGCUAAAAGUUCCUUGGAAUAGGGACAUCAUAGAGGGUGAGAAUCCCGUAUUUGGUUAUUCUUUCUAGCUUUGUGAUACACUUUCAAAGAGUCGGAUUGUUUGGGAAUGCAGUCCAAAAUGGGUGGUAAAUUUCAUCUAAAGCUAAAUAUUGGCGAGAGACCGAUAGCGAACAAGUACCGUGAGGGAAAGAUGAAAAGAACUUUGAAAAGAGAGUUAAACAGUACGUGAAAUUGUCAAAAGGGAAGCGUUUGACACCAGUGUUGUUUUUCCGAAAAUCAAUUAAGAGUGGCUUGAUUUUGUGUUGUAUUGACCUUAUCAGCUUUCUUCACUCUCUUUCGAGUCUUUCUUAAUGCACUUUUCGGUUAACAAGUCAACAUCAAUUUCUUUUGUUGUAAAAGGGUAUUUGGAAGGUGGCUUUCUUUUCGGAGAAAGUGUUUAUAGCCUUAUACCUCUACAAUCGGAGAGAUUGAGGUCUGCAGCGUAGAUCCUUCGGGGCUAGAUACACUUGUGCUAAGUUAUAGCUUUUCAUAGACAACUUGUUGACUAUGUUUAGUCAUGUAGCUUACCCGCUUGUGCUAUUUUACCUACGCUUAGGAUGUUGAGUCAUCACACAUCUCU